AGCCGGUUGGUGAAUGGCGGCGGCCGCCGUCGGAGCGCUGGCCGGCAGGGGUUGGGCGGAGAGGUCCGGGAAGGGCGCGGGAGGGAGACUGGGAGCUGGAGGGGAGGCCGGGAGCGGGAGGAGACGCUCAACCGCCUCACUAAAACCCCAGAGAGAUGAGGACAGCCUCGUCACCGGAGCAGGCCUGAAGCUGGCCUCGGCUCAGCACGCAGUGCCCGCGGGGCCGGCACCGAGCCGCAGUCCCGGCCCGGGCUCCUUUUGCUGAGAGUCAGACCACAGUUCGCUCUGCCUGCGGUUUUCCCGGGCACCGCGCCUCGAGACCCCCAUCGCGAGACAAUGGUUCUGCUGGCUCCGCGGCCCUGACCGCGGGUGAGCCGGAGCGGGCGCUCUCGAGCAGGACGGCGUGAUUCAGCGAGCAACCCACAGGAGACUGGAGAAUGCCUUGGAUGCACAUAAACGCUCCUGCUCCCCACAGGCUUCUUUGGUCGCGCCUUCACACGACGCAUGCGGGCAACUGCUGUUGGCUCGAGCGUGGCAUUUGGAAAUCGCACGCGUCCUUUGUACCUCUGCUCAUUUGACGUGUUGUCACGGAUCAUGAAAGACCUGAAUUGAUUUUGAUGAAUUUCCACUGGUUAAUUCCUCACUGAUGGACAUUGUGAAUAUCAAUGAUCAACGUCUCUUCUCUCCAGUGUUCUUGCCAAUGAGAAAGGGAACAGAGAAUAACAAGACAAAAGAACUCACAAGUAGUAUCAGUGACUCAGAAAUAAAUUAUUGAGUACAGAUUCAGGAAAUCAGUCCUGAAAUCAGUCCUGAAUAUUCAUUGGAAGGACUGAUGCUGAAACUCCAAUACUUUCGAGUUUUGAAGAACUGAUUCGAAGAACUGAUUCGAAGAACUGAUUAGAAGAACUGACUCAUUGUAAAAAACCUUGAUGCUGGAAAAGAUUAAAGGGAGGAGAAGGGGACGACAGAGGAUGAGAUGGUUGAAUGGCAUCACCGGCUCGAUCGACAUGAGUUUGAGUAAGCUCCAGGAGUUGCUGAUGAACAGUGAAGCCUGGCAUCCUACAGUCCAUGGUGUCACAGAGUCGGACAUGACUGCGCAGCUGAACUGACUGAAUUUGCACAGAGAAUUCUAGACUUGACUUCCCCAUUGGCGCCAUCCUCCCUUUGGUGCACUGUAAGGCAGAGAGGAGUUAUGGUCUGAGAAAAAACUUUACAUGGCACCUAAAGCAAAUUCUUUAUAAUAAUUUUUAGUUGUUCUAUUAGUGUGAUUAAGAUUUUAGAUUUGCCAAAAUGUGUACUUGAAGAUGGGGUUAACUUUUUAAAAAUUUAAGGAAAGUUUUCCUUUGUCUUAACCUAUUUUACCGAAGGAUGUUAAUUAGUAUUAAAGUUUGAAAAGAA